UUUGAACGCUGGCGGCAGGCUUAACACAUGCAAGUCGAGCGGGGUGAUGGUGCUUGCACUAUCACUUAGCGGCGGACGGGUGAGUAAUGCUUAGGAAUCUGCCUAUUAGUGGGGGACAACAUCUCGAAAGGGAUGCUAAUACCGCAUACGUCCUACGGGAGAAAGCAGGGGAUCACUUGUGACCUUGCGCUAAUAGAUGAGCCUAAGUCGGAUUAGCUAGUUGGUGGGGUAAAGGCCUACCAAGGCGACGAUCUGUAGCGGGUCUGAGAGGAUGAUCCGCCACACUGGGACUGAGACACGGCCCAGACUCCUACGGGAGGCAGCAGGGGGGAAUAUUGGACAAUGGGGGGAACCCUGAUCCAGCCAUGCCGCGUGUGUGAAGAAGGCCUUAUGGUUGUAAAGCACCUUAAGCGAGGAGGAGGCUCUUUUGGUUAAUACCCAAGAUGAGUGGACGUUACUCGCAGAAUAAGCACCGGCUAACUCUGUGCCAGCCGCCGCAGUAAUAC
rnacentral:rRNA from 1 species